GACGAACGCUGGCGGCGUGCCUAAUACAUGCAAGUCGAACGCUUCUUUCCUCCCGAGUGCUUGCACUCAAUUGGAAAGAGGAGUGGCGGACGGGUGAGUAACACGUGGGUAACCUACCCAUCAGAGGGGGAUAACACUUGGAAACAGGUGCUAAUACCGCAUAACAGUUUAUGCCGCAUGGCAUAAGAGUGAAAGGCGCUUUCGGGUGUCGUUGAUGGAUGGACCCGCGGUGCAUUAGCUAGUUGGUGAGGUAACGGCUCACCAAGGCCACGAUGCAUAGCCGACCUGAGAGGGUGAUCGGCCACACUGGGACUGAGACACGGCCCAGACUCCUACGGGAGGCAGCAGUAGGGAAUCUUCGGCAAAGGACGAAAGUCUGACCGAGCAACGUCGCGUGAGUGAAGAAGGUUUUCGGAUCGUAAAACUCUGUUGUUAGAGAAGAACAAGGACGUUAGUAACUGAACGUCCCCUGACGGUAUCUAACCAGAAAGCCACGGCUAACUACGUG
rnacentral:rRNA from 1 species